rnacentral:rRNA from 1 species
UGCUGGAGGUAUCAGAAGUGCGAAUGCUGACAUAAGUAACGAUAAAGCGGGUGAAAAGCCCGCUCGCCGGAAGACCAAGGGUUCCUGUCCAACGUUAAUCGGGGCAGGGUGAGUCGACCCCUAAGGCGAGGCCGAAAGGCGUAGUCGAUGGGAAACAGGUUAAUAUUCCUGUACUUGGUGUUACUGCGAAGGGGGGACGGAGAAGGCUAUGUUGGCCGGGCGACGGUUGUCCCGGUUUAAGCGUGUAGGCUGGUUUUCCAGGCAAAUCCGGAAAAUCAAGGCUGAGGCGUGAUGACGAGGCACUACGGUGCUGAAGCGACAAAUGCCCUGCUUCCAGGAAAAGCCUCUAAGCAUCAGGUAACAUCAAAUCGUACCCCAAACCGACACAGGUGGUCAGGUAGAGAAUACCAAGGCGCUUGAGAGAACUCGGGUGAAGGAACUAGGCAAAAUGGUGCCGUAACUUCGGGAGAAGGCACGCUGAUAUGUAGGUGAAGCGACUUGCUCGUGGAGCUGAAAUCAGUCGAAGAUACCAGCUGGCUGCAACUGUUUAUUAAAAACACAGCACUGUGCAAACACGAAAGUGGACGUAUACGGUGUGACGCCUGCCCGGUGCCGGAAGGUUAAUUGAUGGGGUUAGCGGUAACGCGAAGCUCUUGAUCGAAGCCCCGGUAAACGGCGGCCGUAACUAUAACGGUCCUAAGGUAGCGAAAUUCCUUGUCGGGUAAGUUCCGACCUGCACGAAUGGCGUAAUGAUGGCCAGGCUGUCUCCACCCGAGACUCAGUGAAAUUGAACUCGCUGUGAAGAUGCAGUGUACCCGCGGCAAGACGGAAAGACCCCGUGAACCUUUACUAUAGCUUGACACUGAACAUUGAGCCUUGAUGUGUAGGAUAGGUGGGAGGCUUUGAAGUGUGGACGCCAGUCUGCAUGGAGCCGACCUUGAAAUACCACCCUUUAAUGUUUGAUGUUCUAACGUGGGCCCCUUACCGGGGUUGCGGACAGUGUCUGGUGGGUAGUUUGACUGGGGCGGUCUCCUCCUAAAGAGUAACGGAGGAGCACGAAGGUUGGCUAAUCCUGGUCGGACAUCAGGAGGUUAGUGCAAUGGCAUAAGCCAGCUUGACUGCGAGCGUGACGGCGCGAGCAGGUGCGAAAGCAGGUCAUAGUGAUCCGGUGGUUCUGAAUGGAAGGGCCAUCGCUCAACGGAUAAAAGGUACUCCGGGGAUAACAGGCUGAUACCGCCCAAGAGUUCAUAUCGACGGCGGUGUUUGGCACCUCGAUGUCGGCUCAUCACAUCCUGGGGCUGAAGUAGGUCCCAAGGGUAUGGCUGUUCGCCAUUUAAAGUGGUACGCGAGCUGGGUUUAGAACGUCGUGAGACAGUUCGGUCCCUAUCUGCCGUGGGCGCUGGAGAACUGAGGGGGGCUGCUCCUAGUACGAGAGGACCGGAGUGGACGCAUCACUGGUGUUCGGGUUGUCAUGCCAAUGGCACUGCCCGGUAGCUAAAUGCGGAAGAGAUAAGUGCUGAAAGCAUCUAAGCACGAAACUUGCCCCGAGAUGAGUUCUCCCUGA